UACAGAGGUCUCAAGCGUUGUUCGGAUUCAUUGGGCGUAAAGGGUGUGUAAGUGGCGCCGUAAGUCGGGUGUGAAAUUUCGGAGCUUAACUCCGAAACUGCAUUCGAUACUGCGGUGCUUGAGGACUGGAGAGGAGACUGGAAUUCAUGGUGUAGCAGUGAAAUGCGUAGAGAUCAUGAGGAAGACCAGUGGCGAAGGCGGGUCUCUGGACAGUUCCUGACACUGAGACACGAAGGCCAGGGGAGCAAACGGG
rnacentral:rRNA from 1 species